AAUAUUUGACGCCAUUGACUUUUUAGCACAUGUUUAACCGUUCAUCUUAUUAAAAAAAUUUGAGUAAUUAUUAAUUCUUUUCUCAUUGUUAAAUACAUUUUUAUGUAGGUAUACAAUUUAUGUUUCACAAAAGUUUUUAAAUAAGAUGAACGGUUAAACAUGUGCUAAAAAGUUAACGGUGUCAAAUAUU
rnacentral:pre_miRNA from 1 species